UACGUAGGGGGCAAGCGUUGUCCGGAUUUAUUGGGCGUAAAGGGCGCGUAGGCGGUUUCUUAAGUUUGAAGUGACAGUGGGUGGCUUAACUACCCAAGGCCUUUGAAAACUGGAGAACUUGAGGACCAGAGAGGGACAUAGAAUUCCGGGUGGAGUGGUGAAAUGCGUAGAUAUCCGGAGGAAUACCAAAGGCGAAGGCAGUGUCCUGGAGGGUUAACUGACGCUGAGGCGCGAAAGCUAGGGGAGCGAACAGG
rnacentral:rRNA from 1 species